rnacentral:rRNA from 1 species
AACGAACGCUGGCGGCAUGCCUAACACAUGCAAGUCGAACGAGACCUUCGGGUCUAGUGGCGCACGGGUGCGUAACGCGUGGGAACCUGCCCUUAGGUUCCGAAUAACUCCCCGAAAGGGGUGCUAAUAACGGAUAAUGUCUUCGGACCAAAGAUUUAUCGCCUUUGGGUGGGGGCGCGUUGGCUUAGCUAGUUGGUAGGGUAAAAGCCUACCAACGCGACGAUGCAUAGCUGGUCUGAGAGGAGGACACACCAGACUUGGACUGAGACACGGCCCAGACUCGGACGGAAGGCAGCAGAGGGGAGUAUAGGACGAGGGGCGAAAGUCUGAUAAAGCAACGCCGGGUGAGUGAUGAAGGCCGUAGGGUUGUAAAGCUCUUUUACCCGGGAUGAUAAUGACAGUACCGGGAGAAUAAGCUCCGGCUAACUACGUG